AAGGUUGAAAAUGUCGUUUCCUACAAUAUGUCAAUGUUUCUUGAAAAAUAUUCAUCAAAAGCCACUAGGGUUGCGAGCUUUUAACGAUUUCAUAGUAUUUAGGUGAAGGAGACAUCUUCCUUUAUAAUAGGUUUCGUGAGAUAAUUUAUGCCAUCAUCAUUAAUCUAUAUACUAUGAGUGAUAGGAAAAGCCAUCUUAUGUGUGUGAGAGAUGCAAAAGAGAUCUUCGAAGAAUUUUUUGGCUUCUUGUUGGAUUAACGUGUUUUUCGAAGUCCAAGUG
rnacentral:lncRNA from 1 species